UACGUAGGGGGCAAGCGUUGUCCGGAAUCAUUGGGCGUAAAGAGCGUGUAGGCGGCCAGAUAAGUCCGCUGUGAAAUCUCGAGGCUCAACUUCGAGCUGUCGGUGGAAACUGUCUGGCUAGAGUCCGGAAGAGGAGAAUGGAAUUCCUGGUGUAGCGGUGAAAUGCGCAGAUAUCAGGAAGAACACCCGUGGCGAAGGCGGUUCUCUGGGACGGUACUGACACUGAGACGCGAAAGCGUGGGGAGCGAACAGG
rnacentral:rRNA from 1 species